rnacentral:rRNA from 1 species
GACGAACGCUGGCGGCGUGCCUAAUACAUGCGAGUAGAACGCACAGUUUAUACCGUAGCUUGCUACACCAUAGACUGUGAGUUGCGAACGGGUGAGUAACGCGUAGGUAACCUGCCUGGUAGCGGGGGAUAACUAUUGGAAACGAUAGCUAAUACCGCAUAAUAUUAAUUAUUGCAUGAUAAUUGAUUGAAAGAUGCAACUGCAUCACUACCAGAUGGACCUGCGUUGUAUUAGCUAGUAGGUGAGGUAACGGCUCACCUAGGCGACGAUACAUAGCCGACCUGAGAGGGUGAUAGGCCACACUGGGACUGAGACACGGCCCAGACUCCUACGGGAGGCAGCAGUAGGGAAUCUUCGGCAAUGGACGAAAGUCUGACCGAGCAACGCCGCGUGAGUGAAGAAGGUUUUCGGAUCGUAAAGCUCUGUUGUAAGAGAAGAACGGGUGUGAGAGUGGAAAGUUCACACUGUGACGGUAUCUUACCAGAAAGGGACGGCUAACUACGUG